AUGGAGUCUCCAAAUCAGCCACUCAUGCUUCUGCCACGGGCCCUCCUGGCUUGGCUGCUGGCACUGCAUGCUCUCUCGGAUGGCACUAAAUGCCCACUGCAUGUGGGAGCACUGCAUGUCCCCACCACCUCUGUGCUUUCCCCGGUAACAGCACCGGGCUGUGUGCCGUGCUGCGAGAUGCCCGGAGCCAUCAGAGCAGCUCCAGUCACUGCUCCCCACCUACGCGCGCCCUGCAGCAGCUGCCCCGUCCUUACCCGCAUCCCUCCGGGGGGGGGCUCCCCCCGGCCCACCUUAAGAAGGCAGCUGCCGGUGUCCCGGGGGGAGCUCCCACCCACGACUUCGCCAGGAGCCAGGCGGUGCCGGGCUGCGGGGAGCCCCGCCGCUACCGGGGCCGCUCGCGGUGUCAGGGCAACGGAGGCGGCGCCGCGGAGGGGCGGUGCGGAGCGGUGCGGAGCGGAACGGCCCCGGGGCCGCUCGGGGCCCGGCCAGGAGGAGCCGGAGAUGGAGCCCCGUCCCCCCGCCUGGCCGCUGCUCUGCCUGCUGCUGCUCUGCCCGCCCUCCUGCCCAGGUGAGCUCUAAGCUCUCUCGUUUUGCUGUGUUUUUCCCUAUUCCCUGCGCUCCCGUCCUUUCUGCCGCUUCUCUCCCCGCUCCCAACCCCGCACCGGCCGCGAUGCGGUGCCGCCGCGCUUUGCUGUGACCUUUGCAGGCGAUGACCUCCAGCGCGGGGCCCGGCUCCAUUGCUCCCAGCACGGAGCCCUUCAUCAAUCCCCCUCCGCAGCCACAUGCGGGAAUAAGGGACGUGAAGAGGCACGUUGCUUCCAGCUCUUUGCCAGCACCCCGCCGGCUCGGGAGAGGCGCAUCGCCCCCGGUAUUGCUGCGGAUGGGAGGAGGGCAGCUCGGCAGGGAGCCCUCUUUAAAACCCAAACCUUGUUUUUAUGGCUGCCCUCCCCUUCACCCCCCAUCUUGUCCUUGCUGCUCCUGCUCAACUGUUGAGUGGGGCUGCGCCCUGUGCUGCUCACUUAGGGUCAGCUCCGGGUCCCUUUGGGUUCCCUGUGGCUCCUUCCACCCUCCCCAUGGCUCGUGGUGCCAUCGGUCCCAUAGGAGAGUGCUGUGAGAAGGGACGGUCGGUGCUCACCCUGGUGUUUCCCUUCCCCUAUGGGAGCAAGAAGUUUCUUGGCCCACCAGGAACAGAGCCCUGCGGUGGUGCUGCUUUCAAGGAUGUUUCAUUUCUAGAGUGUUUCAGUGUCAUUUAAUCUUGAGUGACAGUGCAGAGGAGCUGGGCUCCUUCUGGCCUGCUGUUCUCUGUGGCUUUUUGGGAGACGGAGCAAACUUUGUAGGGCAAAAGUGAUGCACCUCCCCAGUGGGCAUUGUGCCUGUUUGGCUCUGUCCAGACCCCACAUCUCCCCCUGCAGUGAGCUGCACGCCCUGGGCAGAGCUGUGCCCCUCCAGGCCCUCUGGAUACCUUUCCCCUCGCAGCUCUCCUUCGGUGCAGAGCUGAGUGUGAACUCCAACAGAAAGCAAAUGCUUUCAACACAGCACUGCUUGCUUUCCUAAUUGCCUGCCUGCAGCUGGGGAGCGUUGGCCCCGAGCUUUGCGCUCCGAGCUGCUCAAAGCCAAAGGAGGUUUUGGCUGCAAGUGCUGCCCCAGUGAAGCCUCUGUGAUUUCCUGCCGUGUUAAUGGCUGAAGCGGAGCUGUUGAGCUUCACGAAGUGUGGCCCCAAAGGGACAACCCCUUUUUUUCCCCUGGGACAAAAAGAUCCAUCCUGGCCGCUGAAGGGGCACGGAGCGCUGGGUCUCCAGUUGGUUGGAGAGCUGCUUUGUAUGGGUGAUGGUGCAGGCAUGCAAACCUUGUUUCCCACGUGAAUUUCUAGUGGGGAUCAUCCUGCCCUGCAACCCAGCUGUGCUGCAGGGGAGCUGACGGGCAGUGCUGCUGCAGGAAGCAAAGGGGGAAAGGGGAGAUCCUGCAGGAUAUCUCCCUGUAGGGCAAAGAGCCCUCUCUGAAAUCUCAGCUGCUCACAGCCCUUCUGCGUGAGCUUUGCUGCUUCCUGCAGCCUCCCCCGAGUCAGAAACCUGCUUGGCUGUGGGGCUUUGGCCACGCAGCUGAAUUUCUGCUACUGCUGUAGGAGGGCAGCGUGCAAAUGGUGGCUGUGCGUGAUCCGAGGCAUCCUCUGAUGUCACCAGUGUCAAAUAUAGCCCCUACUAUCGCCCUGCCUGGGUAACCAUCCC
rnacentral:lncRNA from 1 species